UACGUAGGCAGCGAGCGUUGUUCGGAGUUACUGGGCGUAAAGGGUGCGUAGGCGGUUGUUUAAGUUUGGUGUGAAAUCUCCCGGCUCAACUGGGAGGGUGCGCCGAAUACUGAAUGACUAGAGUGCGGGAGAGGAGAGUGGAAUUCCUGGUGUAGCGGUGAAAUGCGUAGAUAUCAGGAGGAACACCGGUGGUGUAAACGGCUUUCUGGACCAUAACUGACGCUGAGGCACGAAAGCGUGGGUAGCAAACAGG
rnacentral:rRNA from 1 species